UACGGAGUGUGCGAGCGUUACUCGGAAUCACUGGGCAUAAAGAGCACGUAGGCGGGGAUGCAUGUCCGUGGUGAAAUCCCCCAGCUCAACUGGGGAACUGCUUCGGAAACUGUGUCUCUUGAGGACGAGAGGGGAGAGUGGAACUUCUGGUGGAGCGGUGAAAUGCGUAGAUAUCAGAAGGAACACCGGUGGCGAAAGCGACUCUCUGGCUCGUUUCUGACGCUGAGGUGCGAAAGCUUGGGUAGCAAACAGGAUUAGAUACCCUGGUAGUCCAAGCCGUAAACGAUGGGCACUAGGCAGGGGGAGUUCCGAUGCUCUCCCUGCUGGAGCUAAUGUGUUAAGUGCCCCGCCUGGGAAGUACAGUCGCAAGGCCGAA
rnacentral:rRNA from 1 species